GGUGAGGUGGCUGAGUGGUCGAAAGCGGCGGAUUGCUAAUCCGUUAUACGGGUAAAACCGUAUCGUGGGUUCGAAUCCCACCCUCACCGCCA
rnacentral:tRNA from 1 species